UACGGAGGGUGCAAGCGUUAUCCGGAUUCACUGGGUUUAAAGGGUGCGUAGGCGGGUAGGUAAGUCAGUGGUGAAAUCUUUGAGCUUAACUCGAAAACUGCCAUUGAUACUAUUUAUCUUGAAUAUUGUGGAGGUAAGCGGAAUAUGUCAUGUAGCGGUGAAAUGCUUAGAUAUGACAUAGAACACCCAUUGCGAAGGCAGCUUACUACGCAUAUAUUGACGCUGAGGCACGAAAGCGUGGGGAUCAAACAGG
rnacentral:rRNA from 1 species